CCCAUUUACACAACCCUAAGUAUAAAAGAUAUGAUUGAAUGCUACUACGCCAAGGACUAUAAAUGUACGGUCGCAAAGAAAUAUACAAUGUACAGCCGCUGCUCUCUCUUUUCUUCUCUUCUCCAAACUCCACUUCUUCUUGUUCUUCCUAUUCUUUCUCUCUUUGUGAUGGCACAUAUGGCGUGAACUUCCGAUCUAUGAGGAGCGAAACAAAAAUUGAUUCGUGGACUAACUUCAUAGGUGGAGGAGAAGAAAAGAGGAAGGCAAAUUAAAAACGCGGUGAUUAGAUAGAUUUCCGUUUUUUUGAACAGAGAAGAAGAUCUAGAAAAUAGAAUGAUUUCCGAAAGAAAUUAAGAAGCAUGAGACAGAGGUUAGUUGAACUUUAUAGGAUAAAUGUAUGAAACUAGAUGAAGGGGAAAAGGAGGAUGUUGAAACUUUUGAGGACAUAUAUACAGAUGAGCUUGAGUAAAAUGACAAUUGGUUCUAUUUAUCGCUUUAAUAUAUUCGGCGCCUGUCUUGCUGAAGCACAUGCUGUAGCAUUUUGUGUAGCAUUGUGUUCACUGCGUGCCAGAUUUCAAAGGUAUUAAGAUCUUUAAAUCCAAAAUUUGAUUUCAUAGUAGUAGCCUUACAAGAAGAAAAAUAUGUGAAAACUAUGAAGAUCAAAGAAUUGCAAAGUUCAUUAGAGACACAUUAACUUAUGGUGGUUGAUAAGGGUUCUGAAAGAUCAAAUCAACAAGCAUUUAUGGCACAAAUUAGCAAGAAAGAUGGCAAUAGCAAGAAUUUCAAGAAGAAGGGCAAAGGCAAACACUGGUCCAAUAAUGGCAAGUUCAGGACAUAUGACAAAUCUGAAUCUUCAAAGAGAGGAGGUUUUGUCAAGAGUCACAACAAAAAAAGGUCUUUGAUAAAAGUAAGGUACAAUGCUAUAAUUGUGACAAGUAUUGUGUCCAUACUUUGAUAUGCCCAAGAGAGCAAGUGCAGCUCUGCAAGUAAUCCACUCAGACAUAUGUAGUCCAUUUGAAGUCCCUUCAUUAGGUGAAAGUAAAUAUUUUAUCAACUGUGAAUUUUAUGAAAUUCAUAUUCAUUAUAACGUUAAUCAUGACUAGUGGCGACUCCAGGAUUGUUAGGGAGCCUGGGCAAAUUUUUGGAGGGAAUUUUAUCAACCCAAAUUUCGAAUAUAGAAAUAUUUAGACUCUGUUUUUCAAUAUUUAAUUUUGGAAGAAAUUUUUAAACAAGAAAUAACAUGCAAGAGUAUAGUCAUGUUUCCAAUAUAAUUAAGGCUCAACUAAAUAAGAGACUACAAUGAAAACUGAAUCCACAUCGACGUAUAUAAUUAUAUUAAACUACUUAUUUAUACAAUCAAAACAGCUUAACAAAUUUUAAAAUUCAAAACACCAUCAAGUCAUCAAACAAAGAUUAUAGAUUGAGAAGGUUUUAGGUUG